UCCUACGGGAGGCAGCAGUGGGGAAUUUUGGACAAUGGGCGCAAGCCUGAUCCAGCAAUGCCGCGUGCAGGAAGAAGGCCUUCGGGUUGUAAACUGCUUUUGUACGGAACGAAACGGCUCUGGUUAAUACCCGGGGCUAAUGACGGUACCGUAAGAAUAAGCACCGGCUAACUUCGUGCCAGCAGCCGCGGUA
rnacentral:rRNA from 1 species